rnacentral:rRNA from 1 species
UGUAAAGUUCAAGCUCCGAUUAUGAGGGCGAAACCGCGAAUGGCUCAUUAAAUCAGUCAUAAUAUACUUGAUUGUUUAAAGUUUAUAUGGAUAACUGUGGUAAUUCUAGAGCUAAUACAUGCACAAAGGGGACGACUCUCGCUAGCAAUAGUGCGGAGAAGUUCUGCGUUUAUUAUACUAAGACCAAUGGUCGCUUUCGGGCGUAUCAUUUAAUUAAGGUGACUCUGAGUAAAUAAUGGGUGAAAGCCCAUGUUGCUGACCUGACAUCCCAAAAGGCAUCUGCAAAGUUGUCUGUCAGGCAAAUCAAUCGUGUGUCUGCUCUAUCAGCUGUGGAUGGUAAGAUAAUUGCCUACCAUGGUGAUGACGGGUAACGGGGAGUUAGGGCUCGACUCCUGAGAACAAGCCUGAGAAACGGCUAGUAGGACUAAGGUCUGCAGCAGGCGCGAAACUUACACAAUGCUAGAUUACAAUUAGCGAUGUAGUGAAGAAAAAUAACGAUGUACUUCCAUUUAAACAUGGUAGUACAAUUGGAAUGAGACGACUAUAAACGAGUUAGUCGAGUAACAAAUGGAGGGCAAGUCUGGUGCCAGCAGCCGCGGUAAUUCCAGCUCCAUUAGCAUACAUUAAAGUUGUUGCGGUUAAAAAGCUCGUAGUUGAAUUUUAGGCGGGCUCUAUUGGGCAGCAAUCGUUAAGGUUUUGGCUAUCAUAUUCAUUCACUUGGAUUGGGUUAAAACUGGUUGUUUUCGCCCUGAUAGGAACCCGCUGUUUCGUCACUUAAUCGAGUGCGAAGCGGGCUGGAACGAUGGUUUAUCUCUUCGGAGGUCCAUGUUACAGCAUGUUUACCUUGAGAAAAUUAGAGUGCUCACAGCAGGCAGUUGGGGUGUAAAAGCUCCUUUAUGCUUGAAUAAUGUUGCAUGGAAUAAUAGAAUACGGCCUCGGUUCUAUUCUGUUGGUCUUAUAGAACAACAAACAAGUUGGUUAAAGCGAUCAAAAGCCUCUUUGUUGGCGUGGCUUUAAGAGUCACCAGUGUGUGGUGUUAUGUUUGGUAGGUGUUGCCUGUGUUUCUAUAUUUCUGUUGCCUGGGGCCUUAAAAUCUCAGCGCCAGGAUUGGUUAUAUUGGGCCUCCUAACUAAUGUAUCAUUCAUCUGGUCAUAGCUCUUUUAGUCAUUUUAAAGCGCUACUUAGUUGGGCUAGCUUUCUAAUCAACUGAGGCAAUGGUUAAAAGAAAUAGUCGCGGCGGCAUCAGUACUGCGAGAAGAGAGGUGAAAUUCUUAGACUCUCGCAAGACUAACUGAAGCGAAAGCGUUUGCCGAGGAUAUUUUCAUUAAUCAAGAACGAAAGUUAGAGGUUCGAAGGCGAUCAGAUACCGCCCUAGUUCUAACCAUAAACGUUGCCAACUAGCAAUUGGGUUGCGAUUCCUUUAAUCGAAGCUUAAAACCCUUCGAUCAUUAUGAUCCACCCAGCGGCUCUCGUAGGGAAACCAAAGUGUUUGGGUUCCGGGGGAAGUAUGAUUGCAAAGUUGAAACUUAAAGGAAUUGACGGAAGGGCACCACCAGGAGUGGAGCCUGCGGCUUAAUUUGACUCAACACGGGGAAACUUACUAGAUUAGAACUCUGGAAUGAUUGACAGAUUGAUAGCUCUUUCUUGAUUCAGAGGAUGGUGGUGCAUGGCCGUUCUUGAUUCGUAUUCCGAAACGUCUGCUUAAUUGCGAUAACGAGUGAGACCUCACCCAACUAACUAGUCGUUUGGUGCGCUGUGGAACGCAAAAGUCUGGAUAGGAUUUUUGUUGGUAAUUUCAGAUGAGCUUUCGGGUUUGUUUGGUUGCUAGCUGCCUGUUUUAGAUGUUCUCUGCUCGCCAGCGGACUUCUUAGAGGGAUAAACGGUGUUUUAGCCGUAAGAAACGAGGCAAUAACAGGUCUGUGAUGCCCUUAGAUACUCUAGGCCGCACGCGUGCUACAAUGGCGUGUGCAGAAAGCUUGUUCGAGGUUUGUCUAGAGAGAACUGGCCAUUUGGUUUAGUUGUUGGGUGGCAACAUUUAGCAAUUGAAUCGGUGGAAAAGUGACUUUAGUUAGCAGGCCGAGAGAAACCGUUGUCGAAAGAUAACGGCAAUCAAAAAUACACGCCGUGAUUUGGGAUUGGGGAUUGCAAUUGUUGCCCAUGAACGAGGAAUUCCCAGUAAGCGCAAUUCAUCAUAUUGCGUUGAUUACGUCCCUGCCCUUUGUACACACCGCCCGUCGCUACUACCGAUUGGAAGUUUUAGUGAGGCAUUUGGACCUGCCGGCCAUUGGGAGGGGCAACUCUUCUGGGUUGGCGGGGAAGUCUGUCGAACUCAAAUUUCUAGAGGAAGUAAAAGUCGUAACAAGGUUUCCGU